rnacentral:misc_RNA from 1 species
UCAAACUUGGUCAUUUAGAGGAAGUAAAAGUCGUAACAAGGUUUCCGUAGGUGAACCUGCGGAAGGAUCAUUAAAAAAAAAAAUAGCUUAUGCUAUAUUUUAUCUACCUUGUGUGCAAACAAUGGAAAGAGAAAAUGGAAUUUAAGAACACCUUUUUUUCUUGGAAAAAGAAAAGUGUUUCCAAAUUCUCUAUAUUCUUUUAUAAACACAAUCAAACUUGAAUGAAAAAAUAAAUUUUAAAUAAAAUAUUUAUACAACUUUCAACAACGGAUCUCUUGGCUCUCGCAUCGAUGAAGAACGCAGC